rnacentral:lncRNA from 1 species
AGCAUAGUGAAUUGCUCUAAGAGAAACAAAAAUUUUAAGUUCAUUAGAACACAUUCAUUCUGUGUCAGAAACCUAUGCUGUGUCAACUAUUUAAUCACAAUCCAAAUUUAGAGCUGAAUCCAGCUUGAAUGUGUGUCCAUACUUGCCCUAACCGUUCAGGGUUCAACCUCUGCGGUCGUAUAAAGCUACGCCCUGCGGAGCAUCUGGUUUUAGUUU